rnacentral:rRNA from 1 species
UACAGAGGGUGCAAGCGUUGUUCGGAAUUAUUGGGCGUAAAGCGCGUGUAGGCGGCUUUGCAAGUCGGGUGUGAAAUCCCUCAGCUCAACUGAGGAAGUGCGCCCGAAACUGCAGAGCUUGAGUACCGGAGAGGAUGGCGGAAUUCCCCAAGUAGAGGUGAAAUUCGUAGAUAUGGGGAGGAACACCGGUGGCGAAGGCGGCCAUCUGGACGGAUACUGACGCUGAGACGCGAAAGCGUGGGUAGCAAACAGG